rnacentral:rRNA from 1 species
GACGAACGCUGGCGGCGUGCCUAACACAUGCAAGUCGAGCGAUGAAAUUAGAAACGGAGUCUUCGGACGAAGUGGAAAAUGGAUUAGCGGCGGACGGGUGAGUAACGCGUGAGCAACCUGCCUAUCACAUCGGGAUAGCCUCGGGAAACUGGGAUCAAUACCGAAUGAAACAUAAUCACGGCCUAGUGGAAAUGUCAAAGAUUUAUCGGUGAUAGAUGGGCUCGCGUCUGAUUAGCUAGUUGGUGAGGUAAUGGCUCACCAAGGCGACGAUCAGUAGCCGGCCUGAGAGGGUGAACGGCCACAUUGGGACUGAGACACGGCCCAAACUCCUACGGGAGGCAGCAGUGGGGAAUAUUGCACAAUGGAGGGAACUCUGAUGCAGCGACGCCGCGUGAGCGAUGAAGGCUUUCGAGUCGUAAAGCUCUGUCGAAUGGGAAGAUAAUGACGGUACCAUUUGAGAAAGCCCCGGCUAACUACGUGCCAGCAGCCGCAGUAACAC